rnacentral:Y_RNA from 15 species
GGCUGGUCCAAAGGUAGUGAGAUCUCACAACGAUUGCUUACAGUCAGUUACUGUUCGACCUAUUUAUCUACCCCCCCCCCUCACUACUGCACUUGACUAGUCUUAA